rnacentral:rRNA from 1 species
AUGGAUCAUCCAGAAAAUAUAGUAACACAACUUAUCCAUGAAGAGCACAGAUCAAAAUGGAUAGCACGUAGCAAUCAUAAUGUGAAAUGUUUUACAGAAAAUGAGAUAAACAGAUUUACUGACAACUAUAAGACUUUACUGGGUAGAGGUGCCUUCGGAGAAGUUUAUCAAGGAGUCCUUGAGGACAAAAGUAUGGUUGCAGUCAAGAAGUUUAUCUGCAAUGUAAAAGAAGAUUUUGCCAAAGAGUUGCUCGUCCACCGUGAGAUCAAUCACAAGAAUGUCGUCAGAUUAGUCGGCUACUGUAUUGAUGAAAAUGCCCUAAUGGUGGUCACGGAGUAUAUUCCUAAAGGAAAUCUGAGUGACAUCCUUCACGGCGAUAGCAUUCACAUUGCUUUGGAUACACGGCUAAGAAUUGCCAUUGAAUGUGCAGAAGCGUUGGGCUAUAUGCAUUCACAAAUGUAUACUCAGGUCAUUCAUGGUGAUAUCAAGCCUGCUAAUAUACUUCUGGAUGAUGGACUCAGAGCAAAAAUAUCAGACUUUGGAAUAUCAAGACUAGUCAACACUGAAAAUACUUUAUAUACUCUAAAUGUGAUAGGAAGUAUAGGCUACAUGGACCCUCUAUUUGCUCAGAAUGGUCGCCUCACAGCAAAAAGUGAUGUUUAUAGUUUUGGAGUUGUGCUUCUGGAGCUCAUAACGAGAAAAAAAGCAAGAACAGAGAAUGGGGAGAUCGGCUUGGUUGAAAGUUUUAUUCAAUCUCUUUCAAAAGGGUUUAGGAGGGUGAGGGAGAUGUUUGAUCCUGAAAUUGCAACAUCAAGUGACAUGAAGACUGUCGAUGAGAUUGCUAAGUUGGCUGGUAAAUGCUUGAAGAUGGAACUCAACAAACGUCCUGAGAUGUUAGAAGUUGUAGAACGUCUUCGCAAACUUAGAAAAGCUCCACAUCAGGUACAAGGAAGACUAGCUUUUUUUCCUUUGGGGAGGAAAAAUAAACUAGCUCCAGCCGAAACACCAUCACUAGAAAGCAGCAGCAGUACCCAAAAUGUUGGAACUUUUAUUGUUAGGUCGACAGUGGCAGGCCAAUCGUUCGAGCUGGAAGACCUGCUUCGGGGGUCAGCUGAAAUUCUGGGCAAGGGUACCGUCGGGACAACAUACAAAGCAACGCUUGAAGGUGGUUAUGAGUUGGUGGUCAAGAGGCUGAAGGGUAUGCAUUUGCCGAAGGCGGAUUUCGAGCAGCAUAUCACGGUGAUUGGCGCCAUCCAGAACAAACACAUUGUGCCACUACGGUGGUAUUACUAUAGCACGGAAGAGCAGUUGCUAGUGUAUGAUAUCAUCCCCAUGGGUAGCCUGGCAAAAGUGCUCCACGGUGACAGAGACUCCGGCCCAUCUCUGCUGGACUGGGAGCAGCGGUCAGCUAUCUCACUUGCUGCUGCGCGCGGUGUGGAGGCUAUCCACUUAGCUGGACCAUCGAGCUGCCAUGGCAACAUUAAGUCUUCCAACAUUCUGCUCACCGGCACCCACGAUGCAUGUGUGUCGGAGCAUGGCCUGAUAACACUUGGUGUGUAUUCCAGCGCCUCCGGCUACUGUGCUCCUGAGGUCAAUCACAAUAGGUCAGUCUCCCAGAAAGCUGAUGUGUACAGCUUUGGCAUCCUAAUGCUGGAGCUUCUCAGCAGCAAGGCUCCAGCAAAGAGCAUACAGAAUAAGAAGGGACUAGAUUUGGCACGGUGGGUGUGUUCCAUCACACCUGAGGAGUGGACAGAGGAGGUGUUCGACGUGGAGCUCCUAGGACAACAGCAGAAGGACGGAGAAGUGGACUGCAUGUUGCGAUUUCUGCAGCUCGCCCUAAACUGUUGCAGUCAAGAUGCCGACUGGAGGCCUGCAAUGUCUUAUGUCGUGCAGCAGAUCGAGGAGAUCCAACAAUCCUGA